rnacentral:rRNA from 1 species
ACUCAAAUGAAUUGACGGGCACCCGCACAAGCGGUGGAGCAUGCUGUUUAAUUCGAAACUACGCGAAAAACCUUACCUAGACUUGACAUCCCCGGCAAAGCUAUAGAAAUAUAGUGGAGGUUAUCCGGGUGACAGGUGGUGCAUGGUUGUCGUCAGCUCGUGUCGUGAGAUGUUUGGUUAAGUCCAAUAACGAGCGCAACCCUCGUCUUUAGUUGCUAACAUUUAGUUGAGAACUUUAAAGAUACUGCCGGUGCAAGCCGGAGGAAGGUGGGGAUGACGUCAAAUCAUCAUGCCCCUUACGUCUAGGGCUACAGGCGUGCUACAAUGGCCAAUACAACGAGUCGCAACACGGCAACGUGAAGCUAAUCUCUUAAAGUUGGUCUCAGUCCGGAUUGUGGUCUGCAACUCGACCACAUGAAGUUGGAAUCGCUAGUAAUCCCGAAUCAGAAUGUCGGGGUGAAUACGUUCCCGGGUGUUGUACACACCGCCCGU